rnacentral:rRNA from 1 species
AGGAUUAACGCUGGCGGCGUGCCUAACACAUGCAAGUCGAACGAGGGGGCAACCCCUAGUGGCAGACGGGUGAGUAACACGUGGUCAACCUACCGCUUUGUGGGGAUAACUAGCCGAAAGGCUAGCUAAUACCGCAUACGUCUUGGCCGGCAUCGGCCGAUGAUAAAAGGAGUAAUCCGCAAGGUGACGGGACCGCGUCCCAUUAGCUAGUUGGUGAGGUAAUGGCCCACCAAGGCUCCGAUGGGUAGCUGGUCUGAGAGGAUGAUCAGCCACAUUGGGACUGAGACACGGCCCAAACUCCUACGGGAGGCAGCAGUGGGGAAUAUUGGACAAUGGGCGCAAGCCUGAUCCAGCCAUGCCGCGUGAGUGAUGAAGGCCCUAGGGUUGUAAAGCUCUUUUGUGCGGGAAGAUAAUGACGGUACCGCAAGAAUAAGCCCGGCUAACUUCGUGCCAGCAGCCGC